GAUGAACGCUAGCUACCGGCUUAACACAUGCAAGUCGAGGGCCCGGCUCACGGGUGAGUAACACGUAUCCAACCUGCCCUUUACUCGGGGAUAGCCUUUCGAAAGAAAGAUUACUACCCGAUAUAAAGGAUGGUGAUGCGUUCCAUUAGGUUGUUGGUGAGGUAACGGCCCACCAAGCCUUCGAUGGAUAGGGGUUCUGAGAGGAAGGGACGCAAAAGUGCAACUGAGAAACGAUCCAAACUCCUAAGGGAGGAAACAGUGAGGACUAGUGGUCGAAGGGCGUUAGGCGGAACCAGCCAAGUAGCGUGAAGGAUGAAGGCAUAUGGGUCGUAAACUUAUUUUAUAUAAGAAUAUGUAUUAUAUGAAUAAGGAUCGGAUAACUACGUGCCAGCAGCCGCGGUAAUUC
rnacentral:rRNA from 1 species